UGUCAAGGGCACCACAACAGAUAGAUCUAGCUAAGCCACACAGCACUGUAGUGGCAGAAACAAGAAAAGGAAAUACUUGAGACAAAAUAGCUAUAUUAUAUUAAGUACUGCAAUUGCACUUUAUGCUUCGCUUACAGGCUGUGGAAAACCUACCAGUGUUGCCAUUCUAUCCAGAGGAAGCAGAGCAGAACCUUCAAAGUACAUCAGGCAACAAGAAGCAAGUAAGAUCGCUGUCUUUGUUAACACUUGAAGAGAAGUGAGAAGGGAGUGAAGUGAAAGGAGAAAAAAGAACAGAGAAAAGAUUCAGCUUAGAAGAGCUGUUUUAUUUUACAAAUAAAAUAGCUAUUCCUCUUAGUAAGUCUUCAAACUACGCAACGAAAUAAUAUCACUGGACUAUAUUUCACACUGUUAAACCUUUUGCAUUGCAUACUUCACUACUCACAUUAUCUAAAUAAAACUGGAAGACUUGUA